AUUGAACGCUGGCGGCAUGCUUUACAUAUGCAAGUCGAACGGCAGCGCGGGCUUCGGCCUGGCGGCGAGUGGCGAACGGGUGAGUAAUACAUCGGAACGUGCCCAGUAGUGGGGGAUAGCUCGGCGAAAGCCGGAUUAAUACCGCAUACGACCUGAGGGUGAAAGCGGGGGAUCUUCGGACCUCGCGCUAUUGGAGCGGCCGAUGGCAGAUUAGCUAGUUGGUGGGGUAAAGGCCUACCAAGGCGACGAUCUGUAGCUGGUCUGAGAGGACGACCAGCCACACUGGGACUGAGACACGGCCCAGACUCCUACGGGAGGCAGCAGUGGGGAAUUUUGGACAAUGGGCGAAAGCCUGAUCCAGCAAUGCCGCGUGUGUGAUGAAGGCCUUCGGGUUGUAAAGCACUUUUGGCGGGAACGAAAAGGACUGUGCCUAUACCACGGUUCGAUGACGGUACCCGCAGAAUAAGCACCGGCUAACUACGUG
rnacentral:rRNA from 1 species